rnacentral:rRNA from 1 species
UACGAAGGGUGCAAGCGUUACUCGGAAUUACUGGGCGUAAAGCGUGCGUAGGUGGUUUGUUAAGUCUGAUGUGAAAUCCCAGAGCUCAACUCUGGAACUGCCUUUGAUACUGGGUAUCUUGAGUAUGGAAGAGGUAAGUGGAAUUGCGAGUGUAGAGGUGAAAUUCGUAGAUAUCGGGAGGAACACCGGUGGCGAAGGCGGCGAUCUGGGUCGAUACUGACGCUGAGGUGCGAAAGCGUGGGGAGCAAACAGG